ACCCGCUGAAUUUAAGCAUAUCAAUAAUGCGGAGGAAAAGAAACCAACAGGGAUUGCCUUAGUAACGGCGAGUGAAGCGGCAAAAGCUCAAAUUUGAAAUCGGCCACCAGGUCGAGUUGUAAUUUGUAGAUUGUAUCUUGAGAGCGGAUUAAAGUCUGUUGGAACACAGCGCCUUAGAGGGUGACAGCCCCGUAAAAUCUAUUCUCAUUGUAAGAUACUUUCGAAGAGUCGAGUUGUUUGGGAAUGCAGCUCUAAGUGGGAGGUAAAUUCCUUCUAAAGCUAAAUAUUGACGAGAGACCGAUAGCGAACAAGUACUGUGAAGGAAAGAUGAAAAGCACUUUGAAAAGAGAGUGAAAAAGUACGUGAAAUUGUUAAAAGGGAAGGGUAUUGAAUCAGACUUGGUGCUGUUGUUCAACUGUGUUUCGGCAUAGUGUACUCAGCAGUACUAGGCCAAGGUGGGGUGUUUGGGAGUGAAAAAGAAGUUGGAAGGUAACUCUUCGGAGUGUUAUAGCCUACUUUCAUAGCUCCUCAGGCGCCUCAGGACCGCGCUUCGGCAAGGACCUUGGCAUAAUGAUUCUAUACCGCCCGUCUUGAAACACGGACCAAGGAG
rnacentral:rRNA from 1 species